rnacentral:rRNA from 1 species
UAAGAGGGGGAGUAACAUCCGGAAACGGGUGCUAAUACCGCAUAGUUUUCUUGAUCGCAUGAUCGGGAAAGGAAAGACGGCCUUUGUGCUGUCGCUUAUGGAUGGACCCGCGGCGUAUUAGUUAGUUGGUGAGGUAACGGCUCACCAAGAUGAUGAUACGUAGCCGACCUGAGAGGGUGAUCGGCCACAUUGGGACUGAGACACGGCCCAAACUCCUACGGGAGGCAGCAGUAGGGAAUCUUCCGCAAUGGACGAAAGUCUGACGGAGCAACGCCGCGUGAGUGAAGAAAAGGUUCUCGGAUCGUAAAACUCUGUUGUCAGAGAAGAACAAGCCGGAGAGUAACUGCUCCAGCCUUGACGGUAUCUGACCAGAAAGCCACGGCUAACUACGUGCCAGCCGCCGC